rnacentral:rRNA from 1 species
GUCACGCUGUAAACGAUGUCGAUUUGGAGCUUGUUGCCUAGAGUGAUGGGCUCCGAAGCUAACGCGAUAAAUCGACCGCUGGGGAGUACGGCCGCAAGGUUAAAACUCAAAUGAAUUGACGGGGGCCCGCACAAGCGGUGGAGCAUGUGGUUUAAUUCGAUGCAACGCGAAGAACCUUACCUGGUCUUGACAUCCAUAGAAUUCUGCAGAGAUGUGGGAGUGCCUUCGGGAACUAUGAGACAGGUGCUGCAUGGCUGUCGUCAGCUCGUGUUGUGAAAUGUUGGGUUAAGUCCCGCAACGAGCGCAACCCUUAUUCUUUGUUGCCAGCGAUUUGGUCGGGAACUCAAAGGAGACUGCCGUUGAUAAAGCGGAGGAAGGUGGGGACGACGUCAAGUCAUCAUGGCCCUUACGACCAGGGCUACACACGUGCUACAAUGGCGUAUACAAAGGGAAGCGAAGGUGCGAGCUGGAGCGGAUCUCAUAAAGUACGUCUAAGUUCGGAUUGGAGUCUGCAACUCGACUCCAUGAAGUCGGAAUCGCUAGUAAUCGUAGAUCAGAAUGCUACGGUGUAUACGUUCCCGGGCCUUGUACACACCGCCCGUCACACCAUGGGAGUGGGUUGCACCAGAAGUAGAUAGCUUAACCGCGAGGGGGGCGUUUACCACGGUGUGAUUCAUGACUGGGGUGAAGUCGUAACAAGGUAACCA